rnacentral:rRNA from 1 species
AUUGAACGCUGGCGGCAGGCCUAACACAUGCAAGUCGAGCGGAGCGGCGGACGGGUGAGUAAUUCCUAGGAAUCUGCCCGGUAGUGGGGGAUAACGUCCGGAAACGGGCGCUAAUACAGCAUAAUAUCAGAUGAGCAUAGGGCGGAUUAGCUAGGUGGUGGGGUAAAGGCAUGCCAAGGCGACGAUCCGUAACUGGUCUGAGGGGAUGAUCAGUCACACUGGAACUGAGACACGGUCCAGACUCCUACGAGAGGCAGCAGAGGGGAAUGUUGGACAAUGGGCGAAAGCCUGAUCCGGCCAUGCCGCGUGUGUGAAGAAGGUCUUCGGAUUGUAGAGCACUUUAAGUUGGGAGGCGUUACCAACAGAAUAAGCACCGGCUAACUUCGUGCCAGCAGCCGCGGUAAUAC